rnacentral:rRNA from 1 species
UACGUAGGGUGCAAGCGUUAAUCGGAAUUACUGGGCGUAAAGCGUGCGCAGGCGGCUAUGCAAGACAGAUGUGAAAUCCCCGGGCUCAACCUGGGAACUGCAUUUGUGACUGCAUGGCUAGAGUACGGGUAGAGGGGGAUGGAAUUCCGCGUGUAGCAGUGAAAUGCGUAGAUAUGCGGAGGAACACCGAUGGCGAAGGCAAUCCCCUGGACCUGUACUGAC